UCACAUUGCUACAAUUUUAGAUACAAAUACACUAAUUAAAAUUUUAGAAGCAAACAACAUCAUACAGUACGACAAACUCAAAUAUUGCUGAAAGUUUACAUAGAAAUACACAAAUUAUUUAGCUCAUAUUUAAUUUACAAAUAACUAAACUAUUAAAAAAUUCAAUAUUUCCCACAUAAUGUACUUAUUCCAAAAAUGGCUAAUUGCAUAUCUCUAUCUGAAAAGUACUAAAGUAUCAAAUUACACCUACAAGUUAUAUGGCUAAUUUAUAAGUAUUAAAAACACAUUUACACUAAUUUUUCACUAGUACAUAAAAUUGAAAUAAUCUCAAUUCUACCUCACAUUUACUGUCCAUUCUCCCUCACAUUCAAACUAUCCAUCACAUUGUAGCUUAAAAACAUGUAUAAAUACAAAUCCUCUACAUGCUUAAUAACAAACAAACUAAUUUUUCUCCCUCUCUAAAGUAUAAAAUAAAGCUUAAC
rnacentral:lncRNA from 1 species